GAUGAAGAACGUAGCGAAAUGCGAUAAAUAAUGUGAAUUGCAGAAUUCAGUGAAUCAUCGAGUCUUUGAACGCACAUUGCGCCCCCUGGUAUUCCGGGGGGCAUGCCUGUCCGAGCGUCAUCGCUGCCCUCAAGCACGGCUUGUGUGUUGGGCCCCCGUCCCCCCCUCCCGGGGGACGGGCCCGAAAGGCAGCGGCGGCACCGCGUCCGGUCCUCGAGCGUAUGGGGCUUUGUCACCCGCUCUGUAGGCCCGGCCGGCGCCUGCCGACCACCAUCAAUCUUUUUUCAGGUUGACCUCGGAUCAGGUAGGGAUACCCGCUGAACUUAAGCAUAUCAAUAAGCGGAGGA
rnacentral:misc_RNA from 1 species